rnacentral:rRNA from 1 species
AACGUAGGUCACAAGCGUUGUCCGGAAUUACUGGGUGUAAAGGGAGCGCAGGCGGGAAGACAAGUUGGAAGUGAAAUCCAUGGGCUCAACCCAUGAACUGCUUUCAAAACUGUUUUUCUUGAGUAGUGCAGAGGUAGGCGGAAUUCCCGGUGUAGCGGUGGAAUGUGUAGAUAUCGGGAGGAACACCAGUGGCGAAGGCGGCCUACUGGGCACCAACUGACGCUGAGGCUCGAAAGUGUGGGUAGCAAACAGG